rnacentral:rRNA from 1 species
UCUUGGUCAUUUAGAGGAAGUAAAAGUCGUAACAAGGUUUCCGUAGGUGAACCUGCGGAAGGAUCAUUAUUGAAAUUAUAGGCGAGGGUUGUAGCUGGCCCCUCGGGGCAUCGUGCACACCCGAGCCCUUAAUCCACACACACCUGUGAACCUAUUGUAAGGGCCCUUAAACAAGGCCCUUACGUUUUAUCACCAACCCAUUGUAUGUCUUGCAGAAUGUACAUUUGUAUCCUCGCCUUAAACAAGCGUUGAUAAACCUUAUACAACUUUCAACAACGGAUCUCUUGGCUCUCGCAUCGAUGAAGAACGCAGCGAAAUGCGAUAAGUAAUGUGAAUUGCAGAUUUUCAGUGAAUCAUCGAAUCUUUGAACGCACCUUGCGCUCCUUGGUAUUCCGAGGAGCAUGCCUGUUUGAGUGUCAUUAAAUUCUCAACUCUGAAUCGAUUUGUUUCGAUUCGGGGCUUGGAUUUGGAGCGUGCUGGCGUCGGUCGGCUCCUCUUAAACAUAUCAGCGGAAAUCUAACGUUUCGGGCGUCAGUGUGAUAAUCAUGUUGCGCUGUCACCCGAUGUGAUAGGCCCGCUCACAAUGGUCUUCGGACAACUUCAUAUCAAAUUUGACCUCAAAUCAGGUAGGACUACCCGCUGAACUUAAGCAUAUCAAUAA